CAGUAGCCGCGGUAAUACGGAGGGCGCAAGCGUUAAUCGGAAUUACUGGGCGUAAAGCGCACGCAGGCGGUUUGUUAAGUCAGAUGCGAAAUCCCCGAGCUUAACUUGGGAACUGCAUUGAAACUGGCAAGCUAGAGUGUUGUAGAGGGGGGUAGAAUUCCAGGUGUAGCGGUGAAAUGCGUAGAGAUCUGGAGGAAUACCGGUGGCGAAGGCGGCCCCCUGGACAAAGACUGACGCUCAGGUGCGAAAGCGUGGGGAGCAAACAGGAUUAGAUACCCGGGUAGUCCCUGUCUCUUAUACA
rnacentral:rRNA from 1 species